AUUGAACGCUGGCGGCAGGCCUAACACAUGCAAGUCGAGCGGAUGAAGUGAGCUUUCUCCUGGAUUCGGCGGCGGACGGGUGAGUAAUUCCUAGGAAUCUGCCUGGUAUUUGGGGAUAACGUCCGGAAACGGGCCCUAAUACCGCAUACGUCCUGAGGGUGAAAGAGGGGGAUUUUCGUACCUCACGCCAUCAGAUGAGCCUAGGUGUGAUUAGCUAUUUGGUGGGGUAAAGGCCUACCAAGGGGGCGAUCCGUAACUUGUUUGAGAGGAUGAUCAGUCAGAUUGGAAGUGAGCUAGGGUCCAGCCUCCUACGGGAGGCAGCAGUGGGGAAUAUUGGAAAAUGGGGAAAGGCCUGACCCAGACAUGCCGGGUGUGUGAGGAAGGUCUUGGGAUUGUAAAGAAUGUUAAGUUGGGAGGAAGGGCAGUAAGUUAGUACGCUGCUGUAUUGACGUUAACAACAGAAUAAGCAACGGCUAACUACGUG
rnacentral:rRNA from 1 species